rnacentral:rRNA from 1 species
CGAGUGGCGGACGGGUGAGUAAUGCUUGGGAAUCUGGCUUAUGGAGGGGGAUAACUACGGGAAACUGUAGCUAAUACCGCGUAAUAUCUUCGGAUUAAAGGGUGGGACUUUCGGGCCACCUGCCAUAAGAUGAGCCCAAGUGGGAUUAGGUAGUUGGUUAGGUAAAGGCUGACCAAGCCGACGAUCUCUAGCUGGUCUGAGAGGAUGACCAGCCACACUGGAACUGAGACACGGUCCAG